ensembl:lncRNA
AGAAAGGUGACAGAUAGUGAUUGUGAUAGAAAGGUGACAGAUAGUGAUUGUGAUAGAAAGGUCAUAGUGAUCGUGAUAGAAAGGUGAUAAUGAGAGUGAUAGAAAGGUGAUAGAUAGUAAUGGUGAUAGAAAGGUCUUAGUGAUAGUGAUAGAAAGGUGAUAGAUAGUAAUGGUGAUAGAAAAGUCAGUGAUAGGAAGGUGAUAGAUAGUAAUGGUGAUAGAAAGGUGAUAGUGAUAAGAAGGUGAUAGUGAUUGUGAUAGAAAGGUGAUAGUGAUAGAAAGGUGAUAGUGAUCGAAAGGAGAUGGAUAGUGAUCGUGAUAGAAAGGUGAUAGUGAUCGUGAUAGAAAGGUGAUAGAUAGUAAUAGGAAGGUGAUAUAUAAUAAUAGUGAUCGUGAUAGAAAGGUGAUAGUGAUAGAAAGGUCAUGGUGAUAGGAAGGUGAUAGUGAUCGUGAUAGAAAGGAGAUGGAUAGUGAAAGUGAUAGAAAGGUGAUAGUGAUAGAAAGGUGAUAGAUAGUAAUGGUGAUAGAAAGGUCAUAGUGAUAGGAAGGAGACGGAUAGUGAUUGUGAUAGAAAGGCGACAGAUAGUGAAAGUGAUAGAAAGGAGACAGAUAGUGAAAGUGAUAGAAAGGAGACGGACAGUGAUUGUGAUAGAAAGGAGACAGAUAGUGAAAGUGAUAGAAAGGAGACGGAC